rnacentral:rRNA from 1 species
CUACGGGCGGCAGCAGUGAGGAAUAUUGCACAAUGGGGGGAACCCUGAUGCAGCAACGCCGCGUGGAGGAUGACGCAUUUCGGUGUGUAAACUCCUUUUAUAUGUCAAGAAAAUGACGGUAGCAUAUGAAUAAGCACCGGCUAACUCCGUGCCAGCAGCCGCGGUAAUACGGAGGGUGCAAGCGUUACUCGGAAUUACUGGGCGUAAAGGACGCGUAGGCGGGUUGGAAAGUCAGGUGUGAAAUCCUACAGCUUAACUGUAGAACUGCACUUGAAACUUCUAAUCUAGAGUAUGGGAGGGGGAGAUGGAAUUAGUGGUGUAGGGGUAAAAUCCGUAGAUAUCACUAGGAAUACCUAAAGCGAAGGCGAUUUCCUGGAACAUUACUGACGCUAAGGCGUGAAAGCGUGGGGAGCAAACAGGAUUAGAUACCCCAGUAGUC